rnacentral:rRNA from 1 species
AUGAACGCUGGCGGCGUGCCUAAUACAUGCAAGUCGAGCGAACAGACGAGGAGCUUGCUCCUCUGACGUUAGCGGCGGACGGGUGAGUAACACGUGGAUAACCUACCUAUAAGACUGGGAUAACUUCGGGAAACCGGAGCUAAUACCGGAUAACAUAUUGAACCGCAUGGUUCAAUAGUGAAAGACGGUUUUGCUGUCACUUAUAGAUGGAUCCGCGCCGCAUUAGCUAGUUGGUAAGGUAACGGCUUACCAAGGCAACGAUGCGUAGCCGACCUGAGAGGGUGAUCGGCCACACUGGAACUGAGACACGGUCCAGACUCCUACGGGAGGCAGCAGUAGGGAAUCUUCCGCAAUGGGCGAAAGCCUGACGGAGCAACGCCGCGUGAGUGAUGAAGGUCUUCGGAUCGUAAAACUCUGUUAUUAGGGAAGAACAAAUGUGUAAGUAACUAUGCACGUCUUGACGGUACCUAAUCAGAAAGCCACGGCUAACUACGUG